rnacentral:rRNA from 1 species
CCUACGGGUGGCAGCAGUGGGGAAUAUUGCGCAAUGGGCGAAAGCCUGACGCAGCGACGCCGCGUGAGGGAUGAAGGUCUUCGGAUCGUAAACCUCUGUUAGCAGGGAAGAACGGUCACUGUGCUAAUCAGCAGUGAAUUGACGGUACCUGCAAAGGAAGCACCGGCUAACUCCGUGCCAGCAGCCGCGGUAAUACGGAGGGUGCGAGCGUUAGUCGGAUUUACUGGGCGUAUAGGGCUCGUAGGCGGUAUGUCAAGUCAAGGGUGAAAUCCCCGGGCUCAACGUUGGAACUGCCUUUGAGACUGGCAGACUAGAGUGUGGGAGAGGUAGGUGGAAUUCCUGGUGUAGCAGUGAAAUGCGUAGAUAUCAGGAGGAACAUCAGUGGCGAAGGCGACUAUCUAGCACAUAACUGACGCUGAGGCGCGAAAGCGUGGGUAGCAAACAGGAUUAGAUACCCUGGUAGUC